rnacentral:rRNA from 1 species
AAUCUACCUUUCACAGAGGGAUAGCCCAGAGAAAUUUGGAUUAAUACCUCAUAGUAUAGUACCUUGGCAUCAAGGAACUAUUAAAGAUUUAUCGGUGAAAGAUGAGCAUGCGUCCCAUUAGCUAGAUGGUAAGGUAACGGCUUACCAUGGCUACGAUGGGUAGGGGUCCUGAGAGGGAGAUCCCCCACACUGGUACUGAGACACGGACCAGACUCCUACGGGAGGCAGCAGUGAGGAAUAUUGGUCAAUGGGCGCAAGCCUGAUCCAGCCAUGCCGCGUGCAGGAAGAAGGUCCUAUGGAUUGUAAACUGCUUUUAUACAGGAAGAAACACCUCUACGUGUAGAGACUUGACGGUACUGUAUGAAUAAGGACCGGCUAACUCCGUGCCAGCAGCCGCGGUAAUACGGAGGGUCCAAGCGUUAUCCGGAAUCAUUGGGUUUAAAGGGUCCGUAGGCGGCCAAAUAAGUCAGUGGUGAAAGCCCAUCGCUCAACGAUGGAACGGCCAUUGAUACUGUUUGGCUUGAAUUAUUAGGAAGUAACUAGAAUAUGUAGUGUAGCGGUGAAAUGCUUAGAGAUUACAUGGAAUACCAAUUGCGAAGGCAGGUUAC